rnacentral:sRNA from 10 species
GCCCUUGACCUUCCAGCCAAAGACAUAGUCGGGCGGCUGUGGUUCGGCGGCCUUGUCCGCCGCU